CUCUGAUUGGCUACUUUUCCAUUCCGUGCAAGGCCGAAGGGCGUCAAGGGAGUUGUAGUCUCAAGUUCCUCUGAUCGAUGCCUAUGCCCCCCCGUCUAACCCAGCACGCAUCAGGAAGGGCAUAGAGAGCGUUCCCCAAGAUGGCGGCUGUUUGUCUUCGCUUUCAGGCUGGAGCCAGCUUUGCACUGAUUGGCGGAACCGGUCCCUGAGGUCACACCAGCUUGGAGGAUUCCCUCUGUGAAGUGGGACUGUGGCACCCGCCAGCCAGUCAGAGAGCAUUCCUCACUUCCAAUGCAGAUUCCCGCCAAUGGCUGACAGGGAACAGGAUGACCAGCUGGACAAAGGAGUGCAUAGUUUUGUGGAAGGAUUAGUGUGUCCCAACUUUGGGACAAACAAAGAGAGACCAUUUGGUUCCAUGAGUUCUAUUGUCUAGAUAUUUGUUUGUUUGUUUGUUUAGCUUUUUUUUCGUGUCAGGAGCAACCGGAGUUGCUUCUGGAGUGAGAGAAUUGGCCGUCUGCAAGGACGUUGCCCAGGGGACGCCCGGAUGUUUUGAUGUUUUUACCAUCCUUGUGGGAGGCUUCUCUCAUGUCCCCGCAUGGAGCUGGAGCUGAUAGAGGGAGCUCAUCCACACUCUCCCCAGGUGGGAUUCGAACCUGGCAGCUUUCAGGCCUUGUUUCUGCCACUGUGAAUCGAACUGCAGGCUUUAUUCUGCCUUUCAAAACUCCAACCAGAUCCAUCCACAAAAGCCACAGGGUGUGGGGAGAAGUGCAGACAAAGUCACAGCCUGGUGGACAGGUCUAUGAAGAUGUAGAAUAUAUUCCCACAAAGAAAGCCAAGAACCCCAUGAAGACAGUUGGUAUUGCUUGGUGAGCAUUGCAUUUGCUGUUUGCUUUAUGAAUGUUUCACUGCUCCUAGCCUUGUAACUAUUUGUAGCAUAGAAUGUUUGAAAAACCUAUCUGAGAGAAAGACAGGAAAGGAGUAGGGACUGUGUGACUCUCCACAGGUUUAGAUGGCGUCUCCUACCAUCUUUUAGCAUUUGUUACACUACCAAGGGCCAAUAGAAAUGAUAGUUGAGCAACACAUUUCCUGUUAUUGGGCCAUGAAACUUGUCCAUACAUGGGUUAUGUUCAAAACUGAGACUAACAGGACCCUGGGAAGAAAUAGGAUCUUGUGAUCUGGACUUUAAAUAAAAUCUGUGCUUGCUGAACUCUGAAACAAAGAAUCAGUCAUCAGAUUAUGCAAAAGGCAUAAAGUGAUAAUUUCUAAACACCUAAUUAGGAUGUUGGCAUUUGAGGCCUUGUUUAUGUGAAACAGAAUGAAAAGACUAAUGGUGUAUUGUAGGAAUUAGAAACCUUCCAGCAUCCCUUACAACUGGUCAAGCUGGUAGGUAUUGAUGGGAAAUUGAGCCCAUCAAUAUAUGGAGAGUCACUAAUUCUGUAACAAAAUUUCAUUGUGUUUUCUAGCUGUUAUACAGUAGAGUCUCACUUAUUCAAGCUAAACGGGCCGGCAGAACCUUGGAUAAGUGAAUAUCUUAGAUAAUAAGGAGGGAUAAAGGAAAAGCCUAUUUUCAACAUCAAAUUAGGUUAUGAUUUUACAAAUUAAGCACCAAAACAUGUUAUAC
rnacentral:lncRNA from 11 species